AAGUAGGGCUCAUUGGUCUCACGGUGACCACCCUGUGCACCUGCCCCCUUGAGCGUGAUUCCUCAGCUCCUUCGUCUGGGUGCCCGUGUCCCCAAGGUACACUGCCUGACUCCCACUGGCCAGCGCCGCCACGGCCAGACCUCCUCGGGACCCCAAGCCUCCUUCCUUUGGCACCGCCUGCACAUCUGUUCUCGGAGGCCCCAGAGUCUGCUGGUCAGCAGUUCUCUGGGAUCACAUGGAGCCCGGAUCAUGGCUGUGACAGCAGGUCCCUGGAAGGAGAGAAGAGACCCCCUGGCUGCCUCCUGGGGUUGAGAUGGCCGUUGCUGGCCCUGGUGUCCUCUGCUGGGCCCUUUCCUGUCCAUCCUGCUCACCCUGCAUCGAUUGCUGAUCGGGCCCUUCGCUUCCAUCCCAUUUUUGUGGCUAAUGGCUCUGCUGCCAUUGAUCUGCAUCUCGAUCAAGCGCCUCCUUAUUGCGCCUGAUCGCAGCUGAGGCUUCACUGCGCCUGUCCCCGCCUUUAUCUUGCCCUACCGCCAGGUUCCUCAGGUUCCCACCCAACCAUUCCCCUCCCAGAGCCUUGUCCCUUCUCCUCAGGCCCCUCCAGAAGGAAGAGGGAGCAUCCCCCCAACCCAGAGAGAAUGUCUCUUCUCCCCUCACACUUGUCCAGCUGGGAGGAGGAGCUUCCUAGUGAGAAGCCUCUGGGGGGAGAGGAGGGGGCUGUGCCCUUUAUGUCCCUCCCCCACCCUUGGCCCCAGGCUCCUGCCUACCAAUUUUCCUCCCCAACCUGACCUGGGAGUGGAGACUGGCUGGACCUGGUUCCAAGAAAGGCCCCUCCCUUAGAUGCCCAUUCUAGAGCCCUGGGGGAGGAGUGAAAGGUCUUGAAGAUGGUGCGGGUGGGGGGGCAGCUCCCUGCUGGGGCUGCAGUCCCUGGACUGGACGUGCUUGUCUGCAAGUCUGCAGAGGCCCCACCUUAGGGCUCUCCCCUCCUCUCCAGCUUCCUGUGGGAUUCCCUGCCCUGAAGGAACACGCCAAGGAAAAUUUCACGGAAGGACGCCGUCCAGUAAAGAUGCUCAGCCAGCAGCCAGGGGCCUCUGCUCCUGCCCACCACUGGCCACGGCUCCCCUGCCUGCCCUGCCCGGCCCUGAUUCCAGGGACCAAGAUGGGGUUGGGGUCUUGGGGCCCAGGGAGUUGGGAGGGGCUCCCAGAUUUGGUGUCAUGUUGCCACCUGGCCCUGUCCAUCUGUAUAACCUUGGCCCCUUCCCGAAGCCUCUCUGCUGGGGAUGGGUAAAGUUGAACUCCCCCAGCCUAUGAAAAAUCCUAACAGCAGCAUUGAAGGGAGACCGCCAGAGGUACCACCUCCAGCCAGCCUGCUCAGUCCAGUCCCGGCAGGGAGAUGCUGCAGAGAAAAUUGUGACCCCAAGAGGGUGGGUCCACGUGGACAUGGGGUGGUGGGUGGCCCUGAGGUUCUGCGUUUCUAACGUCCUCGGCUCCUGGAGACCCCACUUUGAGAACCACACUCACUGAACUCCUGGAGCGUGCUCUUGGAAAGUUUUGCCUUUUUAGCAAAGACGUCAGGCUUCGUGUUUUUCUUGUUUUUCAACCUCUAGUGGAAACAAGCCAUUUCCUGAGGGCUGUUGGAGUGGACAGCAGGGCUGUGGUCCGCCUUCCUUGGGAAGGCUGGGGUCUCACUCUCACAGAUGGGCUGAGAAUCAGACGAGAUACGCUUGCUGCUCCUGAGGCCCCCCUUGUACCCUCUGCCCCUUCUGUGGUGCAUGCUCCCCUCCCACAGCCACCCCCACGUGGCAUUGCCAGCCAUCACAUUAAUGGGCAUAAAAUAUUUACUUAACUCAGCUUUUUGCAAAUAUUCCUUCAGUUAUUUCCCCUCUGCUGGGAACAUAAACUGUGUGGCCGCAGCACACGCUGAAAGGAUUGGGUGUUAAAUAAUACAAUAAAAAGCCUGUGAAGGCCCGACAGCUCUGUGCAGGCAGAGGCUGCCAGCCUGGUCGCUGCACCGGCAGAUGGGCCUCCACAGGGGCUGGACAAGGCCCCCUCGAGCUGGGCAGGGAGGGGCAGCCCUGGGCGUUGUUCAUCAGACAAAGUGACAUUUCCAAAGUCUCCCCUCCAUUCUUACAGAGGCACGUUGCAGGGACCUUGGGGGAAACAAGUGAGAAAUGUUUAAAAAUGUAUCAAAUUUCUUUAUAUUUUAAUAUCUUUUAUUGAAAUGCUUCCUUUUUUAUGGUCUUUCUGAGAGCCAUUUUGCUUCUCAUCUCUCAUGGAGCAAUGGCUCCCGAUCCCUGAGGCUUUGUCGAAAAGCCCCAAAAUAGAAACCUGUUCUAGUUGGUCCAGAGGCUGUGGGAUUUUCUUGAUGAUUCAUGAAUUGCCACCUGGCCCCCUUCUUAGGAAGCUGGGGAUCUGUUAAGUAGAUGAAGCUGGAACUCAGACUUGGGGGCAACCAACAGGGGAAAGAGGUUUUACUGGGAACUCAGGGGCUGCUCUGCUCUGACUCAGAAGGACAUCUUCCCCCUUUCCUGAUACUUCUCUGAUGGCAGAAGGAUGUAGAGCUUCUAGAACCCAAGGGGCUACCUGAAGUGGGAGGACUUGUGAGCACUGAGUGUCUUAUCAUUCCAGAAGGUUCUAUUCCCUUGGACCCUCAGGGCAGGGAGGGUUGUGGGGAGAUGGAAAUAGAGAAACAGAGAGAGACAGAGACGUGAGACUCUAGGAAGGCAAGAGAUUAAUCCUAGAUCACGAAGGUUUGCGCAUCUAGUGGGCCCUGGGGCCUUGGCCUGCUGCCCAUCACAGCUCUCAGUGCUCAGAAGCCAGGAGGACACCUGCUCCUGACGGCAGGGGAGAAUGCGGGAGAGGGGCUGGAAGAGUAGUGUCAGGAGAGAAAGCCGGGGUGGGGGGGGGAGGGAAGGGGAGGAGGCAGAGGCCCAGGACGGGAGGCUGGCCUGCCCCAUCACUGUCCUUCCCUCCGUUGGCCCAGCACAGGGGUUGGUGCCCUAAGCUCCCUUCUGCUGUCACCCCUCCUGCCUUUGGCUCUCUCCCCUCUCUUUCAGUCUGAUCUUUGGAGAUGUGGUUUUUCUCUUAUGGAACCAGCUGAAAAGAAUGACUCAUGUGGAGCAGACUAGAGAGAGGCUGUCCCCUGCUGGCCUAGAAGCUGAGUGGUGCGGGGCCCACGUGGCAUAUGGCCUCUAGGAGCUGAGACUUACCCUAACCAAUAGCUGGCAAGAAGCUGGGGACCCAGGAGCACAAGGAGGUGAGCUCUGCCCACCGCCAGAGGGAGCUUGCAAGUGGAUCCUUCCCCAGCUGAGCUCUGAUGGAACAGCAGCCCCGCCAGCAGCUGGAUGGCAGCCUGUGAAACCCUGUUGCAGAGAAGCCAGCUCAGCUGUGCCGGACUUCUGACUGACCCCAGCUGCAAGGUGACAGAUGUGUGCUGUUUAAACAAAGCAAAACGGCAACUCUGCUUUUGCAGAACGAUGAUACCUUUGCUUGUUUGUCUUUCAGCAGAGAAGCAAUGUGGAGUCGUAGAAUAUUUUAGGUCUUCAUCUAACAGACAUCAUGGGUUGACUUCUCCCCAUUGUCCUUCUGCCUGUGGGCCUGUCAUAUUCCGGAGCCCUGGGGUCCUAGGCAGCCUGAGGGUUGGGGCAGCAGUGGGGACCGAGGCAGGAAGUUCCUGGAAUUGGUGGUAAAUUCUUGGAGGUCAGACAAGGCUGUGCGUGGGUGCUAGGAGCGGGUGGCAGCCAGAGUCUGCUCCUUCUCCCUCACCUGCUUCCCUGCACACCAGGUGGCUGUGGGGGCCAGCAGACUGGGGGCGUGGUCCUUGGCUUCUGGCCUUGUCCAUUUCUACUCCCUUGUCAGGAUGCCAGUGAAGCCGUAAUGGUUGCUUCAAUCAAACCAUCUCUGAGAGAGGUUUCUUCUCAUCUGCUUUCUGUGGGCAAACAUCCCCAGUUGUGCUGGUGGUCCUUCCUGGUCCCGCUGAGCUGGGUCCAGAGGGCUAAGGGGGCAGCAGGAUGGUCCCUUGUCAAGUCCUCCCAGGCCUGGCCAAAAUGAGGUCUUACAUAAAGGCCCAAACUGAAAGAGAUGGUGAGUUUACCGUAACCUAAAAACCUGCCGCCUGGUGUAAACGUGCAUUUCCUCACACACUUGCCGCCUUUGCUAACGCCCAGGUGGGACAGACUCAGAGCCCUUUGGCGUGGGUCCCGAGGUCUCCAAGCUGAAGUCCCCUGGAUGCUGCGCUCGGGUCUGAGCCCUAUGUGAGUGUUACUUGAACUUCUCAGGGCAUCUGGGGCUGAGAAGAGAGCAGAGGGUGGUCAGGGAUCCACAGCAGCCCCAGCCUGAGGGCUGGUCACCCAGGUGACCUGCAGGCCCAGAGCAAGGGUGAGGUCUGACUGGUGAGGGGAGCGCCUGCACACUCAGGUCCCUUUGCGGGCACUCUUCUGAGUGCAUGCGUGGUUUUACUUCCCAAAAGACAAAAGCAAGAGGAAGGGGGGCCCUCUCCUGGGGCCCAGGAGAGAGCAGGAGGGGGGCUUUCAGAUACCCCCUUUCAGGGCCUCAGCCUGGCCAGGCAGGACUUACAGGUCUCCCUGCUCCCCCACCCCUUGCAUCACCGCUGCCUGGACCAGGACACCUGUGGGGACACAGACUUUGUCACCACCUUCAUCUUGUAUCUCCCUUAACCUCUUCCUAUACGUGCACCCCACACUGGGGCCCCCCUUUCUGCCCACCCAGCUCCUUUGAGGUCAGCUCAUCUCUUCUGUCAUCCUUACCUACACCUGCUCCUGCCUGCUGGGCCCACCCAGACAUCUCCCCACUGUGCCCUCUGCUCCCACUCCGGGGCCCACCCCCAUAACUGAUGAGGUCGGUGAAGGUCACGGCUCUGUUCCCCACAGCCUGGCACAGCGCUGGCCUCACACACUGGGUCACAGAGUUGAAUGUCCUGAACAUUCUUCCCUGCCUGUGACCUCUACCUCUGCGUGACUCAGUGACAAGCCACCUCCACGAGGGAACAUUCACUCAUCAUUUAUUAUUUAGUCAUUGUCUGUGGCUCUCACUGCAUGCUUCAGAGAUGUUAACUCCUGCAGUCCUCAUUGCGGCCCCGAGGCGGAAGGUGCAUUUUGCAGAUGGGGAAACUGAGACUUAGAGAAGCUUGGGAAGCGGCCAGGACCACGGAGCUGGGAAAGUCUAGGGGGAUUUGAACUCAGCCUGUCUGUGCCCAGGUUCUCCAUGAUCCUGGUAUGUCUCCAGCAUGAGCAAGAACUAAAGAACAUCUUACUUAUUUUCUUGGCUCAGCAUCUUUCUGCUGCUGUUGCUUUUUUAAUUUCCUGCUUUCUCAGAGGAAGCCUCUGUGCCUGCCACCUCAGAAACAUGCCCUCAGCCCAGGGACACCGGCCUUGACAGUCAGGGCCCUUGGCUCCCUCAUCUGUGAGCUUCCCUGGGUUUGCAGCCAAAACCAGGAGGCUGCUGUCCAGGAGGAGGACGGGCAGAGCCAGGGGUGCCCAGCUCUUCUGGGCAAUGAAAUGCAGAUUUCCCAUUAAAAGGCAAAUCAUUAUUUCAAAAGGUUGAAUAGGAUGCGACUUAAAAAAAGAUUUUCAGCUGGUUAAAUUUAGGACAAGGGACGAGGUCCAAGGAGCUGGUGCUCCUGGCUGGAGGCCCGCGGCAGAACCUUUGGAUGGGAAAUUGGAGCCUUUUCACUUUCAGUGCUUGCCUCUCGGUAGUUUUUUUCUCUCUUCCCUGAGUUAGGCAAACAAAUGUUGAUAGCCGUGUUGGCCAGGGCUGUGCUUGCUUAAAAUAGGCUGUUUCGGUUGGCUGGUGGCCAAUUUGAGAUGCCUCGUCCCAGCCCACACCCUCUCUGCACAGCAGGCAGGAAGUGUCCAGCCCCGAGGGCUUUCUCCUUCCUUGACCACCGGCACCCUGACGCAGCUUCGUGCUUUUUACCCACAGUCCCAUGUCCCUGUCCUGCGGGUGGGAGGAGUUGGAGACUUGCCCCUGAAUUUACUCUCUCAGACAAGGCCAUGGUGGGCAAGUCACACGGCUGCUUGGACCUUGCUACCUGCUCUUAUGGCACAGGAGCUGGGCUAACCCACCCCUGAGGUGGUGUCCAGCUCUGACCUGCUGAGCGGGCCUCCAUCAUGGGACCAAGCCCAGAUGCCAGGCUGCAGAACCCCAGCAGUGGAGGACAGCUUCUGGGAACCCGGACAGGACAAAACCCUAAUGAUGGGACAUGAGGCAGGUGGAGCUGUGUGUGUGUGUGUGUGUGUGUGUGUGUGUGUCCGUGUACGUGGGUGGGGGACUGUGGGUUAUGUGGGAAAACUUGCAUUCGAGAGUCUCAUGGCCCAGACCCUCAGGGGUGAAGCAGGUAAGGAAGGGCAGUCUGGUUGGGUGUUGGGAAUGAUUAGACCUUUCAGAGCAGCCGGCCAGAGGGAACUGGCAUGACCUUGGCCCAAAGGUGGGUCUUCCCCUCCUCUUCCUUCACCACCUCCUCCCGUCCCCUCCUCCCCAGUGGUGCUGAGUAGCGGCACUCUGUUGGUUGCACCAGUGGCCAGCCUCAGAGACGAGCAGGCCCAGCUCAAAGGUGUGCCGGACUCUGCACGGGUCUGGGACCCCCACCUUCUCAGCGCACCCACCACUGAGCUACCCUGGGUUUCCCUGGGCAGCCCAGGCCUUCUUCCCCAUGCCCUGUCUCCCCUUCCUUAUUCCCAGACUGGAAACUCCUGUCCAUGGACUCUAGGUCCCGGCCUCCUGCUCCUACCCAUCCUGACCCCUUUCCUUUAGUCUCAGUGCUGGACAUAAAAGCAGGACAAGCAGAGCAUGAUACUAGU
rnacentral:lncRNA from 1 species